rnacentral:rRNA from 1 species
AGCUGGGUUCAGAACGUCGUGAGACAGUUCGGUCCCUAUCCGUCGCAGGCGUAGGAAAUUUGAGAAGACCUGUCCUUAGUACGAGAGGACCGGGAUGGACGUACCUCUGGUGUACCAGUUGUUCUGCCAAGGGCAUGGCUGGGUAGCUAUGUACGGAAUGGAUAAGCGCUGAAAGCAUCUAAGCGCGAAGCCAACUUCAAGAUAAGAUUUCCCACCGCAAGGGUAAGACCCCAGAAAGACUAUCUGGUUGAUAGGUCGAAGGUGUAAGUGCAGCAAUGUAUUUAGCUUAUCGAUACUAAUAGGUCGAGGACUUGACCAAU